rnacentral:rRNA from 1 species
CCUACGGGAGGCAGCAGUGGGGAAUAUUGCGCAAUGGGCGAAAGCCUGACGCAGCGACGCCGCGUGAGGGAUGAAGGUCUUCGGAUCGUAAACCUCUGUCAGCAGGGAAGAACGGUCACUGUGCUAAUCAGCAGUGAAUUGACGGUACCUGCAAAGGAAGCACCGGCUAACUCCGUGCCAGCAGCCGCGGUAAUAAGGAGGGUGCGAGGGUUAAUCGGAAUUACUGGGCGUAAAGCGCUCGUAGGCGGUAUGUCAAGUCAAGGGGGAAAUCCCCGCGCUCAACGUGGGAACUGCCGUUGAAACUGGCAAACUGGAGUGUGUGAGAGGAUAGUGGAAUUCGAGGUGUAGGAGUGAAAUCCGUAGAUAUCUGGAGGAACAUCAGUGGCGAAGGCGACUAUCUGGCACAUAACUGACGCUGAGGAGCGAAAGCGUGGGUAGCAAACAGGAUUAGAUACCCGUGUAGUC